AUGUUUCACAUGCUUGUGUUGAUAGUCCUUGCAUAUCAUGUAGAAUGCUUGACUAAAUCUCAUGAUGAUAUGCUUGCUAUGUCUUGUUGCCAUGAUAAAAAUGCAUCUAUUUCCUUGAAUUGUUGUGCUAACAAUGUAGAGGAAACCCAACACCCCAUGGAACAAGAUGUGGUCUUGAAUGCUGCUUCAAGGGAUCCUACAUCAUCAUCUAUUGCGUUUUGUCUUAUGGCUAAGCCUUCAAAGGUAUCUCCCACUUUGAAUCCCAAUAUAUCUUGUGAUGAUGAUGUUUAUAAUGAUGAAGAGAAUGAUAAUGUUGCCUCCUUAAAAAUUAAGGGGGAGAUGAUUUUUAAAGCUCUUCAUAAGAAUAAAAUUGCUCGUUCCAACUUCAUGGAAAUCAUGUCCAUUGCCAUUGAGGGCAAGAAAUAUAUAGAGGAGUUGGAAUCUCAUCUAGAGGAGCAUGAGGUCGCCAUUGAGAAAAUUGAAGGUCAUGAGCGUGAUUAUGCUAAUGAGAUCGCCGAUCUCUCGCAAGCUCUUGAACUUGAACAAACUACCAAGGAAUCUCUUGAGGAGACUUUUGCUCUAGAACUAUCUAGAAUAAAGGAAUCCCGUGAGAGAGCUCUCGAGGUGGCUAAUGAUUUUGAAACUAAAAAUGAGAAGCUUGAAGCUGUGCAUGCCAAACUCCUUGAGGACUUUGAGCAUGUCGAAAAUGGCUCAAGGGUCAUUAAGGGUGAUCUCAUCAAACUCACCGAGUCUCAUGCUCAACUUAAAGCUUCAUAUUCAAAAGAGCUUGUCAAAUUGGCUUCUCCUCUUGUUGUUUAUGAUGACGCUUGUGCUACUAAAUCUACUUCUUGUGAAGCAUCCGUUUUGAAGGAGAAUGUUUAG
rnacentral:rRNA from 1 species